GGAAGGAAGGAAGGAAGGAAGGAAGGAAGGAAAGCAAGCAAGCAAGCAAGCAAGCCACAGCCAGUCUUCCCUUUGCAUCUGUGCCCCGCCUGCUGAAGUUUUUGGUUUCCCCAAAUCCACUCUUCCUCUAGAUUUGCCCUCCUUUUUAAAAUACGCACAGAUUUACUAGAUUUGGCAGCUGGUAAAUCCAAAGCAGCUAAAGCCCCUCCUGAGGAUUUCCGUUUCUGUAUUUCAUUAGCCCUUUAAUUUAUUUUUUGUAAGCUUUUUUUUAAUUUAGAAAAUGAACCGCUUAGGAAACUGACAUGCUGGAAGGCUUCGCCCCUGCUUUUUUCUCUCCAAGGAUGCUCCCUUAGAAGAGCCACAACAGCAAGCAUCGUUGCAAGUCAGUGCUGGGUUAGAAAAAGUGUUCAUCCACCUCGAAAAUGUGGAAGGAAAGUAGGAAUAACCUUUGGGGGUGGACGACUGAGGGACCGGCUGUUUCCAGAUGUGGGCAGGUUUGGGGAUGGAUGUACUCCAUAUGGUGGUCAUUUCCUCCGAACACUCAACUCCCAGAUGUGGCCACCAGUACCGAAUCAUUGGGGACCCAUGAGUUGAGAAACACCGAGUUAGAUUAUUGUGAAUACAGGCCAUUUCCUCACAGUGAUUUACAGUGUUUUACAACAUCUCUACUCAUUGCGCAGAUAUUAUGCAAGACUAUCUUCAUUGCAGCAACAGCUGGAUGUCAAUACUUCCUUCUACGGCAAGGUCACUCUCAAGUUGGGCUCGUGACUAUUAGAACACAUCUGUGUUCUUUCUAUGGAGAUAGAAUUGAGAUCCCAUGUCCAUAAUCUAUUGCCCUGGAAUAUUCUGGGCGUCUCCCAUCCAAGUAUUAACCCGGUCCAACUCUGCUUAGCUUUUCUGGGGUCAGCCGCUAUCUGCUAUGACCGGUUGAUGCUAUAAAUGGCUGGUGAGCAAAUGGCUGUAGGAAAUAUGAUAUAAGGGCAUCUUCUUGAUGGGUCUAUCACAGCUGGGCAGAAUUUUAGGAAAAGGAUACUGCUCCCCUGAUGAGGCAAAUGGCCUUUCUCAGCCAAUGUUUCCUAGAUCAAUGAGGUCCAGACUUUGUGUUCAGGUGAAAUGUUAUCUACUUAGAAGGUUGUCUGAAGGUCUUCAUUGAAAGAGCAGGAUGGACUUCAGACAGACACCCGUUGUAAACUGAAAUGCAAAAUUGAUGUUAGCAUCAGUUGAGAGUCCUUGAGCAUCUAAAUGCAGGCCAGCCGUUUAAACUUAUUUUUAGUUGUCUGACACAGGAAUUGUGUCAUAUGUGCACUAAAGUUAUCAAGAU